rnacentral:rRNA from 1 species
UACGUAGGGGGCGAGCGUUGUCCGGAUUUACUGGGCGUAAAGCGCGUGUAGGCGGCUGCUUAAGUCGGGUGUGAAAGCCCGGGGCUCAACCCCGGGAUGCCGCCCGAGACUGGGCGGCUUGAGGUCGGAAGAGGGGAGUGGAAUUCCAGGUGUAGCGGUGAAAUGCGUAGAGAUCUGGAGGAACACCCGUGGCGAAGGCGGCUCCCUGGUCCGAUUCUGACGCUGAGACGCGAAAGCGCGGGGAGCAAACGGG